AGCAACAUGAAGAGGUCUUGUAAUCUGAAGAUAUCAUCUGAUGUUGAUACAUACAUUCAUGGUCUUCAAAGUUCUCUGAUUGCU
rnacentral:snoRNA from 2 species